rnacentral:snRNA from 1 species
CGGCAGCGAGUUCCUUGGUGCUAAAAUUGGAACAAUACAGACAAGAUUAGCAUGGUCCCUGCGCAAGGAUGACACACAAAUUCAUGAAGCAUUCCAUAUUUUU